rnacentral:lncRNA from 1 species
AUGGUGCAGGAAAGACAUCCCCAAGGGAAGGGAGUCUGCUGGACUCUGAGACUCUGGUCAACUGCUGUGAUUUCCAUGUUGCUCCUCAGCACCUGUUUCAUUGCGAGCUGUAUGGUGACUUACCAGUUCACGAUGGAGAAGCCCAAUAGAAGACUGUCUGAACUUCACACAUAUCAUUCCAGUCUCACCUGCUGCAGUAAAGGGACUAUGGUGUCAGGUUCUGGCACCCCCAUGAGCCCAAUCUUCCGGAAGAGUGGUGUGCUUCAAUAGUUUACUGGAAUCCUUCGAAAUGGGGCUGGAAUGAUGUUUUCUGUGAUAGUAAACACAAUUCAAUAUGUGAAACGAAGAAGAUUUACCUAUGA